rnacentral:rRNA from 1 species
GUAGGUGGCAAGCGUUGUCCGGAAUUAUUGGGCGUAAAGCGCGCGCAGGCGGUUCUUUAAGUCUGAUGUGAAAGCCUACGGGCUCAACCGUGGAGGGUCAUUGGAAACUGGAGAACUUGAGUACAGAAGAGGAAAGCGGAAUUCCACGUGUAGCGGUGAAAUGCGUAGAGAUGUGGAGGAACACCAGUGGCGAAGGCGGCUUUCUGGUCUGUAACUGACGCUGAGGCGCGAAAGCGUGGGGAGCAAACAGGAUUAGAUACCCUGGUAGUCCACGCCGUAAACGAUGAGUGCUAAGUGUUAGGGGGUUUCCGCCCCUUAGUGCUGCAGCUAACGCAUUAAGCACUCCGCCUGGGGAGUACGGCCGCAAGGCUG